rnacentral:rRNA from 1 species
GACGAACCGCGCGAACGUUGUUCGGAAUCACUGGGCUUAAAGGGCGCGUAGGCGGUCUUGCAAGUCUGUGGUGAAAUCCUCCAGCCCAACUGGAGAACUGCCGUGGAUACUGCGAGUCUCGAGGGAGGUAGGGGCGUGCGGAACAGAUGGUGGAGCGGUGAAAUGCGUUGAUAACAUCUGGAACUCCGGUGGCGAAGGCGGCACGCUGGACCUCAUCUGACGCUGAGGCGCGAAAGCCAGGGGAGCAAACGGG